AAUCUCAACUACUAGGGUUUCCUAGUAAGCUUGGAUUUGGGUGUCUGCCUUGCGAAAGGCUCACCUUAAAAGUGUUAGCGUGUCUAAUCAGUGAUAUUGUCUGGCGUAAUAAGUUUCGCUGGGCUAGCUGAGAAGCGUGCUUCUAAACUGUCUUUGGACAACUUUUCUUGAC
rnacentral:misc_RNA from 1 species